rnacentral:rRNA from 1 species
GAUGAACGCUGGCGGCGUGCCUAAUACAUGCAAGUCGAACGCUGGAGAUCUAGCUUGCUAGAUCGAAGGAGUGGCGAACGGGUGAGUAAUACAUAAGCAACCUACCCACGAAGACUGGGAUAAUCUCUGGAAACGGGGACUAAUACCGGAUAGGUAAUCGGAAGGCAUCUUCUGGUUAUUAAAGGUUAAAAACACUGGUGGAUGGGCUUAUGGCGCAUUAGUUAGUUGGUGAGGUAACGGCCCACCAAGACGAUGAUGCGUAGCCGGCCUGAGCGGGUGAACGGCCACAUGGGGACUGAGACACGGCCCAGACUCCUACGGGAGGCAGCAGUAGGGAAUUGUCGGCAAUGGGGGCAACCCUGACCGAGCAACGCCGCGUGAGUGAAGACGGCCUUCGGGUUGUAAAGCUCUGUUGUAAGGGAAGAACGGUAGAUAGAGAAUAUCUAAGUGACGGUACCUUACCAGAAAGCCACGGCUAACUACGUG